AUUGUCUCGUUGCUAGGCAACUAUCACCACUGGCCACACAGGCCUCUGUGUGAGUUUGUCUGUGUGCAUGUGUUCAUGGGUCUGCACUCAGGCGUGAGUGUGGUGGUCAGAGGACAACCUCGAGUGUUGCUCCUUGGGGAGCAGUCACCUUUUUAUUGAGGCAGGCGUCUCAUUGGCUGAAACUUGCUAAGUAGGCUAGGCUACCUGACCAGGAAGCCCAAGGGAUAUACUUGUCUCUGUCUCCCUAGUGAAUUCCAAGUGUGAGCCUCCUUGACUUUCUUUACCCAGGUUCUAGGGUCCAAACUCAGUUCCCAACACUCACUAGGAAAGUGCUUUACUGAUCAGAGACAGCUUCCUGACCCCCCUCAGAAUCCAGGAAAACUCAAACUCUGUCCCCAUAAGAGAGCAGACCAUCCUUUGUCUCCCAGACCCAGGCGACCAGCAUUCUGCCUCCCAUCUGUAGGUGUCAGACCGCUCUAGGGAUCUCAGCUGCCUGGAAGCCAGUCUUCUCCUAGCAGCCUUCAGAUGACGAUGUAGAACUCUCAGCUCCUCCUGCACCAUGCCUGCCUGGAUGUUGCCAUGUUCCCACCAUAUUGAUAAUGGACUGAGCCUCUGAACCUGACAGAGAGGCCCGGAGAGGCUGAAGUCUCCAGACUCUGACUACAGAGCAGCAGCACAGGAGCAGAUCAGGGCUCGUCUGCCUGCUGAGGAAGCAGCUGUCGCAGCCGACCUGGUGAGAACAAAGGCUAGAGACACGCUUGUUCACAGGGCACGGGGCAGACGACACCCUCACCCCGAGCAGUGCCUGCCAUCUUCAUCUCCAAAGCUCUCGUGGGGAGGAGACUCCACGCUCUGCCGCUGGGGAGGAGAACAGAGCCUGAGUGGCGUGUCACUUCAUCAAGCCCUCAUUUUUCCAUUCCAGCCAUUAAAGAGAAUUUUGCUUUAAAAA